rnacentral:rRNA from 1 species
GACGAACGCUGGCGGCGUGCUUAACACAUGCAAGUCGAACGGAAAGGCCCUGCUUUUGUGGGGUGCUCGAGUGGCGAACGGGUGAGUAACACGGGAGUAACCUGCCCUUGACUUUGGGAUAACUUCAGGAAACUUGGGCUAAUACCGGAUAGGAGCUCCUGCUGCAUGGUGGGGGUUGGAAAGUCUCGGCGGUUGGGGAUGGACUCGCGGCUUAUCAGCUUGUUGGUGGGGUAGUGGCUUAUCAAGGCUUUGACGGGUAGCUGGCCUGAGAGGGUGACCAGCCACAUUGGGACUAAGAAACGGCCCAGAUUCCGACAGGAGACAGAAGUGGGGAUUAUUGCACAAUGGGCGAAAGCUGGAUGCAAAAACGACGAGUGCGGGAUGACGGCCUUCGGGUUGUAAACCGCUUUCGCCUGUGACGAAGCGUGAGUGACGGUAAUGGGUAAAGAAGCACCGGCUAACUACGUG